rnacentral:misc_RNA from 1 species
UGCUCUUGGUGGUUCUUAUUAUUUCUCCUAUUUGAUUUCUGCUACCCUUCCUCAUUUCUGGUUGCCUCACCCUUCUCUCUUUCUCUCUCUCUAAAACAGAUUCACUCCCUCCGCAAUAUUCAAUCUCUCUCUAUCUCCAAAUUUUACUAUCUAAUCAUUCUUGUCUUUUGUCUUGGCGUCCCCGAGCAUGUUCUUUUAAUGCCCAGCUUUGAAUUCUUCUCCUUUGUCUUGAAUUAUUUUUUUUUGUUGCAUCAUUGACUUUUUUUUUUCCUAUUUCAAUUGGUUUUUGCUUCAUUCUCCAUCCAUAAGGCUUGAUCUGAACAAGAAUUGUUGUGUUGGGCGCACCAGUGAAGAUUGGAAUUAGGAUCGAGAUUGUUGUUUGAUCAAUAUAAGGGUGAAUUUGGUUGAUUGAUUGCAUCACUGGGCUCUGACUUCCAAAGGAUUUAUCGGUUCUUCACCAAUCAGUUCUUACGGAUCCAUCUUCUGAGAAUAGUGGUUGCUAUUGUCUGGCUGGUCUGGAGUGCAU